GAAGAUAUAUGGAAUAGGGUAAAAGGUGAGAUUCUGUGGUCCAAAUUGGGGCCAUGUUCGCUGUAACAGCAGACCUCCAGAAAAUUGGAGAGGGAGGUAAAUGUUGUUUUGUAAACUGCCUCAGAUUUGUAAAGUGCUUCAGAUUUUUCCUCUUUGAUAUGCUAGUUAAUUUGUUUUGGUUUUUUUGUGUGUAGAUUGUUAAUGCUUACCUCACGUGGGUGGCAAAAAUGGUCCAUGUCAAAGUGAUUGACACCUUUUGAGACGACGGCAAUUUGGAAUGGCACAUCAAAGGGGAUUAGAAAGAAGGAAGAGACACAGACUGACCGCUCCCUUCACGGAGAGCAAGAUCGCCGCUGAGCCCCGACGUCGGCCGCUGUUUUCCUUUGCUGCCCCGACAGGAACAGUUUCGCCAGUGCACAUGGCUUCGUCAGCGUCCGAGCAUGAGAGAAACUCCGCUGGACAAACCCAAACAAACUGACACAUCCAUCAAUCGCUAGCCAAGAGCGAUUUCAAGUAAGAGGCUUGCGUCUGGGCAGAGAUAGAUUUUAUAACAGUGUGUUUUAUAACUUACUCUGUGUGCUUUCCUCUCUCUUCUCUCGCUCCACUAACCUACACACCUUAACACGUACAUUUACAUGCUUAUACGCAUCUCAAACGGCCCAGAUAACAUGUAGCUUAGCCAGUUAAGCUGCAUGUUAUUUUGAGGACAAAUAGAGUUUUAUCUCUAUCCCUUUAUUUAAGAUUUGCGGGUCUGCCCGCCAUUUGGUUUUGUGCGUGACGACCACCCAUGUGGCCGCCACCUUCCUUGCACCCCCUCUCUCUAUUGUCCCACACACACGUUAUAUGCUUGCUCACUGAUGUAUGCUUAUUGUGUUUAGACUGUGGUUGUUGAUCAAAGUUAUUGAUUGUUAAUCACUGCCAAAUGUGCCAAAGACAAUGAUGGUGCACUUCUACACUGCCAUCAUAGAGUCCAUCCUCACCUCCUCCCAUCACCAUCUAAUAUGCUGCUGCAACUGCCAGGGACAAGCGCGGAUUGCAGCGGAUCAUCUGCUGUGCUGAGAUGGUGAUCGGCUGCAACCUGCCGUCAUAUUGCCGUUCUGAUUCAUAUUCUAGGAGAAGUUCUUUGCAUGGAUCAUAUGUUAGCUGCAACUACUUGCUCACCCUCUUCUCCCUUUCAUGGUAUGCUUUUUUUCCUCCAGGAAUGUCAUGUUGUACAGAUUGUAACACUAUCUGAGACCAAUUUGAUUUUGGCCUGUCCUAAAUAAAAUGAACUUGACAGUU